GGAUCAUUAUCAAAACAGCGGACUUCGGUCUUUGCUGCACCCUUGUCUUUUGCGCACCGAAUUGUUUCCUCGGCGGGCUUGCCUGCCGGUUGGACAUUAUCAAAACCUUUUUGUAGUUGCAAUCAGCGUCAGAAAAAUCAUAAUUAUUACAACUUUCAACAACGGAUCUCUUGGUUCUGGCAUCGAUGAAGAACGCAGCGAAAUGCGAAAAGUAGUGUGAAUUGCAGAAUUCAGUGAAUCAUCGAAUCUUUGAACGCACAUUGCGCCCCUUGGUAUUCCAUGGGGCAUGCCUGUUCGAGCGUCAUUUUGUACCCUCAAGCACUGCUUGGUGUUGGGCGUUUGUCCUGCAGAGGACUCGCCUGAAAGCGAUUGGCGGCCAACGUAGUCGUGGCAGAGCGCAGCACAAUCUCGCGUCUCUCCCCUCUGCGUCGGCGUCCAUGAAGCCCACAAUCUCAACGUUUGACCUCGGAUCAGGUAGGGAUACCCGCUGAACUUAAGCAUAUCAAUAAGCGAGAAAGAAC
rnacentral:rRNA from 1 species